AUAGCGAACAAGUACCGUGAGGGAAAGUUGAAAAGCACUCUGGAGAGAGAGUCAAAAGACCGUGAAACCGCUCAGAGUAUAAGCCCAUGGCAGCUUGGAAGGCAUGUCGGUAGCGGGGCAUCUGGAAGCUUCCCUUUCGCGAGGGAGGUGGAAGGGUGUUACCCUGUCUCUUUAAUGGCUCGUCAAGGUAGGGGGGUCAAGUCCACAUCCCGCCGACGGGUGGGGGGUGCUGUGGCGCGUUCAUGUUUUGCAGUUGGUUUGCCGGCUGUAGAGCUGGGCGUGUUCAGUGCCUCUUGUGCCCGGACGUUCAGAGUCAGAGACAGGAUACGACAAACAGCCCACCACGGCACGUUGUGAGGUCACCCACAGGCUCGACUUUCGAUUGUGGGCCUUGACAAAGAGCAGCUGAAUGCGUGUUGCAAAAAUUCCUGACCUCUGUCUUGAAACAUAGAAGAGGAUUGCGGAAGAACACGCGCUCAUAAGUCAGGUCCGGGCGAUGACUGAGUUCUGGUAUGAUCCUCUGCGACGAGUCGCUUUCUGGCCUAGCUUCUGGUUUGCCCAGUGCUCCCGCAUGUGCCGCGGGAGCACACGUUGGCGGUCUGGGCCUCGAGUCCUCUCAGCCGGGCACCAGAACGAGUGGUGUAAAGUCCAAGCCCAUCGGUCACGUCUCGAAACACGGGCCAAGGAGUAUAGCAUGUGUGCAAGUCUAAGAGUCUCCCAAAACUCGAAGGCGAAGUGAAAGCAAGUAUGCGGCGAGUGAUCUA
rnacentral:rRNA from 1 species